GAUGAACGCUGGCGGCGUGCCUAAUACAUGCAAGUCGAGCGAACAGACGAGGAGCUUGCUCCUCUGACGUUAGCGGCGGACGGGUGAGUAACACGUGGAUAACCUACCUAUAAGACUGGGAUAACUUCGGGAAGCCGGAGCUAAUACCGGAUAAUAUAUUGAACCGCAUGGUUCAAUAGUGAAAGACGGUUUUGCUGUCACUUAUAGAUGGAUCCGCGCCGCAUUAGCUAGUUGGUAAGGUAACGGCUUACCAAGGCAACGAUGCGUAGCCGACCUGAGAGGGUGAUCGGCCACACUGGAACCGAGACACGGUCCAGACUCCUACGGGAGGCAGCAGUAGGGAAUCUUCCGCAAUGGGCGAAAGCCUGACGGAGCAACGCCGCGUGAGUGAUGAAGGUCUUCGGAUCGUAAAACGCUGUUAUUAGGGAAGAACAAAUGUGUAAGUAACUAUGCACGUCUUGACGGUACCUAAUCAGAAAGCCACGGCUAACUACGU
rnacentral:rRNA from 1 species